rnacentral:rRNA from 1 species
UACGUAGGGGGGCUAGCGUUGUCCGGAAUCAUUGGGCGUAAAGAGCGUGUAGGCGGUCCGGUAAGUCCGCUGUGAAAGUCGGGGGCUCAACCCUCGAAUGCCGGUGGAUACUGUCGGGCUAGAGUGCGGAAGAGGCGAGUGGAAUUCCUGGUGUAGCGGUGAAAUGCGCAGAUAUCAGGAGGAACACCUAUUGCGAAGGCAGCUCGCUGGGACGUUACUGACGCUGAGACGCGAAAGCGUGGGGAGCAAACAGG